CAGCAGCCGCGGUAAUACCGAGGGUGCGAGCGUUAAUCGGAUUUACUGGGCGUAAAGCGUGCGUAGGCGGCUUCUUAAGUCGGAUGUGAAAUCCCUGAGCUUAACUUAGGAAUUGCAUUCGAUACUGGGAAGCUAGAGUAUGGGAGAGGAUGGUAGAAUUCCAGGUGUAGCGGUGAAAUGCGUAGAGAUCUGGAGGAAUACCGAUGGCGAAGGCAGCCAUCUGGCCUAAUACUGACGCUGAGGUACGAAAGCAUGGGGAGCAAACAGGAUUAGAUACCCCAGUAGUCCCUGUCUCUUAUAC
rnacentral:rRNA from 1 species